AUUGAACGCUGGCGGCAUGCCUUACACAUGCAAGUCGAACGGUAACGGGCCUUCGGGUGCCGACGAGUGGCGAACGGGUGAGUAAUGUAUCGGAACGUACCUUUCAGUGGGGGAUAACGUAGCGAAAGUUACGCUAAUACCGCAUAUUCUGUGAGCAGGAAAGCAGGGGAUCGCAAGACCUUGCGCUGAUUGAGCGGCCGAUAUCAGAUUAGCUAGUUGGUGAGGUAAAGGCUCACCAAGGCGACGAUCUGUAGCGGGUCUGAGAGGAUGAUCCGCCACACUGGAAAUGGGACACGGUCCCGACUCCUACGGGAGGCAGCAGUGGGGAAUUUUGGACAAUGGGGGCAACCCUGAUCCAGCCGUGCCGCGUGAGUGAAGAAGGCCUUCGGGUUGUAAAGCUCUUUCGGCCGGGAAGAAAUCGUAUCAGCUAAUACCUGGUGCGGAUGACGGUACCGGCAUAAGAAGCACCGGCUAACUACGUGCCAGCCGCCGCAGUAAGAC
rnacentral:rRNA from 1 species